rnacentral:rRNA from 1 species
GAGAUUCCCCCAGUAGCGGCGAGCGAACGGGGAGGAGCCCAGAGCCUGAAUCAGCAUGUGUGUUAGUGGAAGCGUCUGGAAAGGCGCGCGAUACAGGGUGACAGCCCCGUACACAAAAGCGCAUGUGUUGUGAGCUCGAUGAGUAGGGCGGGACACGUGGUAUCCUGUCUGAAUAUGGGGGGACCAUCCUCCAAGGCUAAAUACUCCUGACUGACCGAUAGUGAACCAGUACCGUGAGGGAAAGGCGAAAAGAACCCCGGCGAGGGGAGUGAAAAAGAACCUGAAACCGUGUACGUACAAGCAGUGGGAGCACCCUUUGGGGUGUGACUGCGUACCUUUUGUAUAAUGGGUCAGCGACUUAUAUUCUGUAGCAAGGUUAACCGAAUAGGGGAGCCGGAGGGAAACCGAGUCUUAAUUGGGCGUUAAGUUGCAGGGUAUAGACCCGAAACCCGGUGAUCUAGCCAUGGGCAGGUUGAAGGUUGGGUAACACUAACUGGAGGACCGAACCGACUAAUGUUGAAAAAUUAGCGGAUGACCUGUGGCUGGGGGUGAAAGGCCAAUCAAACCGGGAGAUAGCUGGUUCUCCCCGAAAGCUAUUUAGGUAGCGCCUCGUGAAUUCAUCUCCGGGGGUAGAGCACUGUUUCGGCUAGGGGGCCAUCCCGGCUUACCAACCCGAUGCAAACUGCGAAUACCGGAGAAUGUUAUCACGGGAGACACACGGCGGGUGCUAACGUCCGUCGUGAAGAGGGAAACAACCCAGACCGCCAGCUAAGGUCCCAAAGUCAUGGUUAAGUGGGAAACGAUGUGGGAAGGCCCAGACAGCCAGGAUGUUGGCUUAGAAGCAGCCAUCAUUUAAAGAAAGCGUAAUAGCUCACUGGUCGAGUCGGCCUGCGCGGAAGAUGUAACGGGGCUAAACCAUGCACCGAAGCUGCGGCAGCGA